GACGAACGCUGGCGGCGUGCUUAACACAUGCAAGUCGAACGGAAAGGCCCUUCGGGGUACUCGAGUGGCGAACGGGUGAGUAACACGUGGGUGAUCUGCCCUGCACUUUGGGAUAAGCCUGGGAAACUGGGUCUAAUACCGAAUAGGACCACGCGCUUCAUGGUGUGUGGUGGAAAGCUUUUGCGGUGUGGGAUGGGCCCGCGGCCUAUCAGCUUGUUGGUGGGGUAAUGGCCUACCAAGGCGACGACGGGUAGCCGGCCUGAGAGGGUGACCGGCCACACUGGGACUGAGAUACGGCCCAGACUCCUACGGGAGGCAGCAGUGGGGAAUAUUGCACAAUGGGCGCAAGCCUGAUGCAGUGACGCCGCGUGAGGGAUGACGGCCUUCGGGUUGUAAACCUCUUUCAAUAGGGACGAAGCGCAAGUGACGGUACCUAUAGAAGAAGCACCGGCCAACUACGUG
rnacentral:rRNA from 1 species